rnacentral:ncRNA from 1 species
UGAGGCUUAAUUUGAAUUAGAGUGAGAAAAGUCACUUAGCCCAAACACCGUAAAGAUUCACAAAUUAGAAGGUCUCUAUUGAUUAGGUGAUUGGAGCGAUUUGUAUGGUUUAUUCUGAUAACGAUUGAGACACUAGCGGUAAAUACCAAAUAGUGGCUGGAUUUUUACUUUCAUUUUAUAAUAUAAUACUUUUUAGAGGGGUAGGCGGUGAUUAGCAGCUCGGGAUUGAGCGAUAACAGGAGUCUGUGAUGCCUUUAGAUGUUCGGCUGCAUGUGUACUACAUUGGAAGAAUCAGCUGGCCUGUCCACUGCCGAGAGACUUUGGUAAACCGUUGAAACUGUUCCGUAACCGGGAAUGAGGAUUAUCCUCUUUUGC